rnacentral:rRNA from 1 species
CCUACGGGAGGCAGCAGUGGGGAAUAUUGGGCAAUGGGCGCAAGCCUGAACCAGCCACGUCGCGUGAAGGAAGAAGGCUUUCGGGUUGGAAACUUCUUAUCUCAGGGGAGAAGCAAGUGACGGUACCUGAGGAUUAAGCCACGGCUAACUACGUGCCAGCAGCAGCGGUAAUACGUAGGUGGCAAGCGUUAUCCGGAUUUACUGGGUUUAAAGGGCGCGUAGGUGGGGACGUAAGUCAGUUGUGAAAGCCACCGGCUCAACCGGAGACCUGCAUUUGAAACUGGGUGUCUUGAGUACUGGGGAGGUAGACGGAAUUCGUGGUGUAGCGGUGAAAUGCGUAGAUAUUAGGAAGAACUCCGAUGGCGAAGGCAGUUUGCUAGACAGCAACUGACACUGAGGCGCGAAAGUGUGGGGAGCAAACAGGAUUAGAUACCCGAGUAGUC